UGUUCAUUUGGGCUCCCAGCC
rnacentral:misc_RNA from 1 species